rnacentral:rRNA from 1 species
GAUGAACGCUGGCGGCGUGCCUAAUACAUGCAAGUCGAGCGAACAGACGAGGAGCUUGCUCCUCUGAUGUUAGCGGCGGACGGGUGAGUAACACGUGGAUAACCUACCUAUAAGACUGGGAUAACUUCGGGAAACCGGAGCUAAUACCGGAUAACAUGUUGAACCGCAUGGUUCAACAGUGAAAGACGGUCUUGCUGUCACUUAUAGAUGGAUCCGCGCCACAUUAGCUAGUUGGUAAGGUAACGGCUUACCAAGGCAACGAUGCGUAGCCGACCUGAGAGGGGGAUCGGCCGCACUGGAACUGAGACACGGUCCAGACUCCUACGGGAGGCAGCAGUAGGGAAUCUUCCGCAAUGGGCGAAAGCCUGACGGAGCAACGCCGCGUGAGUGAAGAAGGUCUUCGGAUCGUAAAACUCUGUUAUUAGGGAAGAACAAAUGUGUAAGUAACUAUGCACGUCUUGACGGUACCUAAUCAGAAAGCCACGGCUAACUACGUG